CGCCUCCGUAGCUCAGGGGAUAGAGCACCGCUCUCCUAAAGCGGGUGUCGCAGGUUCGAAUCCUGCCGGAGGCGCCC
rnacentral:tRNA from 1 species